UAACGUCCGUCGUGAAGAGGGAAACAACCCAGACCGCCAGCUAAGGUCCCAAAGUCAUGGUUAAGUGGGAAACGAUGUGGGAAGGCCCAGACAGCCAGGAUGUUGGCUUAGAAGCAGCCAUCAUUUAAAGAAAGCGUAAUAGCUCACUGGUCGAGUCGGCCUGCGCGGAAGAUGUAACGGGGCUAAACCAUGCACCGAAGCUGCGGCAGCGAACGUAUCACCCAAGACAACUUUACGGAGUUGACGAUUGACGGAGCGAAGCGACGUCAAAGCGUUCAUUAAAGUCGAGUUGGCUUAGGGAUACGUUCGUUGGGUAGGGGAGCGUUCUGUAAGCCUGUGAAGGUGUGUCGUGAGGCAUGCUGGAGGUAUCAGAAGUGCGAAUGCUGACAUAAGUAACGAUAAAGCGGGUGAAAAGCCCGCUCGCCGGAAGACCAAGGGUUCCUGUCCAACGUUAAUCGGGGCAGGGUGAGUCGACCCCUAAGGCGAGGCCGAAAGGCGUAGUCGAUGGGAAACGGGUUAAUAUUCCCGUACUUGGUGUUACUGCGAAGGGGGGACGGAGAAGGCUAUGUUGGCCGGGCGACGGUUGUCCCGGUUUAAGCGUGUAGGUGUGUGUUCCAGGUAAAUCCGGUUCACUUUAACACUGAGGCGUGACGACGAGGCACUACGGUGCUGAAGCAACAAAUGCCCUGCUUCCAGGAAAAGCCUCUAAGCAUCAGGUAACACGAAAUCGUACCCCAAACCGACACAGGUGGUCAGGUAGAGAAUACCAAGGCGCUUGAGAGAACUCGGGUGAAGGAACUAGGCAAAAUGGUGCCGUAACUUCGGGAGAAGGCACGCUGACACGUAGGUGAAGUGAUUUACUCAUGGAGCUGAAGUCAGUCGAAGAUACCAGCUGGCUGCAACUGUUUAUUAAAAACACAGCACUGUGCAAACACGAAAGUGGACGUAUACGGUGUGACGCCUGCCCGGUGCCGGAAGGUUAAUUGAUGGGGUCAGCGUAAGCGAAGCUCCUGAUCGAAGCCCCGGUAAACGGCGGCCGUAACUAUAACGGUCCUAAGGUAGCGAAAUUCCUUGUCGGGUAAGUUCCGACCUGCACGAAUGGCGUAAUGAUGGCCAGGCUGUCUCCACCCGAGACUCAGUGAAAUUGAACUCGCUGUGAAGAUGCAGUGUACCCGCGGCAAGACGGAAAGACCCCGUGAACCUUUACUAUAGCUUGACACUGAACAUUGAGCCUUGAUGUGUAGGAUAGGUGGGAGGCUUUGAAGUGUGGACGCCAGUCUGCAUGGAGCCGACCUUGAAAUACCACCCUUUAAUGUUUGAUGUUCUAACGUGGACCCGUAAUCCGGGUUGCGGACAGUGUCUGGUGGGUAGUUUGACUGGGGCGGUCUCCUCCUAAAGAGUAACGGAGGAGCACGAAGGUUGGCUAAUCCUGGUCGGACAUCAGGAGGUUAGUGCAAUGGCAUAAGCCAGCUUGACUGCGAGCGUGACGGCGCGAGCAGGUGCGAAAGCAGGUCAUAGUGAUCCGGUGGUUCUGAAUGGAAGGGCCAUCGCUCAACGGAUAAAAGGUACUCCGGGGAUAACAGGCUGAUACCGCCCAAGAGUUCAUAUCGACGGCGGUGUUUGGCACCUCGAUGUCGGCUCAUCACAUCCUGGGGCUGAAGUAGGUCCCAAGGGUAUGGCUGUUCGCCAUUUAAAGUGGUACGCGAGCUGGGUUUAGAACGUCGUGAGACAGUUCGGUCCCUAUCUGCCGUGGGCGCUGGAGAACUGAGGGGGGCUGCUCCUAGUACGAGAGGACCGGAGUGGACGCAUCACUGGUGUUCGGGUUGUCAUGCCAAUGGCACUGCCCGGUAGCUAAAUGCGGAAGAGAUAAGUGCUGAAAGCAUCUAAGCACGAAACUUGCCCCGA
rnacentral:rRNA from 2 species